CCUACGGGCGGCAGCAGUGAGGAAUAUUGGUCAAUGGGCGGAAGCCUGAACCAGCCAAGUCGCGUGAGGGAAUAAGGCCCUACGGGUCGUAAACCUCUUUUGCCGGGGAGCAAGGGCGGGGACGUGUCCCGGCCCGGAGAGUACCCGGAGAAAAAGCAUCGGCUAACUCCGUGCCAGCAGCCGCGGUAAUACGGAGGAUGCGAGCGUUAUCCGGAUUUAUUGGGUUUAAAGGGUGCGUAGGCGGGCUUUUAAGUCAGCGGUAAAAAUUCGGGGCUCAACCCCGUCCGGCCGUUGAAACUGGGGGCCUUGAGUGGGCGAGAAGAAGGCGGAAUGCGUGGUGUAGCGGUGAAAUGCAUAGAUAUCACGCAGAACCCCGAUUGCGAAGGCAGCCUGCUGGACGAUGACUGACGCUGAGGCUCGAAAGCGUGGGGAGCAAACAGGAUUAGAUACCCCAGUAGUC
rnacentral:rRNA from 1 species